UGAUUGUUAACACAUGCCCUCUGGGGCUCUGGGGGUGGCAGACACACCCUCCUAAAAGAGCAACAUAACAUGCUUGGAUGCUGCCACAGGGCCCGCAUAGAGCCUGCUCCCACCAGAGAGAAGCGGCCGGCUCCAGCGUUUGUUCACUCUAGUUCUCACACUUGUCCACUUGUGUGCUCCCUUCUAUAUGGGAUUGAAUGUGGUGGCCGAGUAAAUGAGCCACCCCUAUCGUAAGUCCCGUGAAGGGGCCAGAGAACUCUCCCAUUUCAUAGGUAUAUACAGCCUUUUACUGUAUUCAUUUGCAUAGCUAUAUGGUAUUUAAUUAUAUGAAUAUAUCACAAUCUAUACAUUAAUUUUCUGUUUGAUGGAUGAUUACGUUGCUUUCAGUUUUUGCUACCAUAAACAAUACUGUAAUGAACAGUCUUAUAUGUGCCUCCUGAUGUAAGUGUGUGAGUUUCUCUAAGGUAUUUACCUAGGAAGAAAAUUCCUUAGUCAUAGGAUGUGUAUUUUAAACUUCUCUAGAUAUUGCCAAACUG
rnacentral:lncRNA from 10 species